GCCGAGGGUGGCGGGGAGGCCUCUUCCCGGCGGGAAGAGCGUCUCGCCGACCCGGUGACCCUCGAUCUUUGGGCUCUUGUCUUUGUCAUUAAUAUCUUCUGCUUGGGGAGGCUUGGUGCCGUGUCGCUGCCCCCCUUCCUGGUGCGCCAAUCUGUUGCGGCCAAUCCCCUCGUCGUCUGAUCGUCGGGAGACGAGCGCCUGCAAAAAAGGA
rnacentral:lncRNA from 1 species